CGGUCAUCUAAUGUUGUGGUUGAU
rnacentral:siRNA from 1 species